rnacentral:rRNA from 1 species
UACGUAGGGGGCAAGCGUUGUCCGGAAUCAUUGGGCGUAAAGAGCGUGUAGGCGGCCCGAUAAGUCCGCUGUGAAAGUCCAGGGCUCAACCCUGGAAUGCCGGUGGAUACUGUCGGGCUCGAAUCCGGAAGAGGUGAGUGGAAUUCCUGGUGUAGCGGUGAAAUGCGCAGAUAUCAGGAGGAACACCAAUGGCGAAGGCAGCUCACUGGGACGGUAUUGACGCUGAGACGCGGAAAGCGUGGGGAGCAAACAGG